GCAUGGAGCAGGUGUCAAUGGGACUGUUGACCAAUCAGCGUGGGAGCUGUGCCUUCCUGCUCUGACUUCCCAGGGUCAGGGCCAUGAUGUUGAUGGGGACGGGCUGCUGUUCCUCUGUCCACCCUGAGAGCCUCCUAGAGGCCCCAGCCCCAGCUGCUCCAUGCUCAGUCCAGGGGUGAAGAAAGCAGAGGAUCACAGGGACCGGGGCUGGGGCUGGACAGGGACCGGCACUGGGGCUGGAUGGCACCAAGAGAACGCCCACUGCCAGAGACAGAACUGCUCUGGAGUCUCGACUCCUCUCGAUCCGUGAGGCCAGGCUCUUUUAGGACGGUUAUAGGAAGUUCCCAGAAGCAAAUCUCCUAAGUUUGAAAUUUCUCUUGUGGUUCCCCUAAAUGAACCCUGAGGCUUACAGCGCUUGGCCCUAGGAGCGAUGGCAAGAAACCAACCAUCAAGAACGGAGCUUGGGCGUUGGUUGUCUGGAGAGCGGUGAUGACCUCAUUACCAGUGAAAAAUGGGACCCUGAG
rnacentral:lncRNA from 1 species